rnacentral:lncRNA from 1 species
AACAAAUCCAUCGAACUACUUUCGAGUAGUUGGAGGAGGAUUAUGCACUCAUUAAAAAAGUGCUCGCCUAUAGCUUCCUUGGCCAUCAACUAUGCAUUAGAAAUGUGCAAAAAACUUCACCCUUUUUUCACAUUGAGCUGUUAAACUUAGUUGCCCCAGAGCAAAGACUGGCUGGCCAAAAGUGCGCUGGUGAAAAAACAUCAGAGAAAGGAGAGGCCUUGCGAUAUGAAGCAGAAAUCGAUGGCCAUGAGCUGAUGUAGUGGCAAUCGAGCCUGGGAAUCCGGGGAAUCAGAU